UACAGAGGGGGCAAGCGUUGUUCGGAUUUACUGGGCGUAAAGGGCGCGUAGGCGGUCAGCACAAGUCAGUUGUGAAAUCUCCGGGCUUAACUCGGAAAGGUCAACUGAUACUGUGCGACUAGAGUGCAGAAGGGGCAACUGGAAUUCUCGGUGUAGCGGUGAAAUGCGUAGAUAUCGAGAGGAACGCCUGCGGCGAAGGCGGGUUGCUGGGCUGACACUGACGCUGAUGCGCGAAAGCCAGGGGAGCGAACGGG
rnacentral:rRNA from 1 species